GUCUAAGGCCACAUCAAAUGUAUGUAAUGGUACCUUAUCUUGGAAGCUAAGUUGGAUUGGUUCUAGCAAAUUCUUCAAUGGAGACCACCUGGGAAUCCCAGGUGCCAUAGACU
rnacentral:rRNA from 1 species